rnacentral:rRNA from 1 species
UACGUAGGUGGCAAGCGUUGUUCGGAAUUAUUGGGCGUAAAGGGCGCGUAGGCGGUUUGUUAAGUCAGCUGUGAAAGCCCGGGGCUCAACCCCGGAGGUCAGCUGAUACUGGCAGACUGGAGUACAGGAAGAGGUAACGUGGAAGUUCCCGGUGUAGCGGUGAAAUGCGUAGAUAUCGGGAGGAACACCUGAGGCGAAGGCGGGGUUAACUGGGCUGAUACUGACGCUGAUG